rnacentral:rRNA from 1 species
GACGAACGCUGGCGGCGUGCUUAACACAUGCAAGUCGAACGGAAAGGCCCCUUCGGGGGUACUCGAGUGGCGAACGGGUGAGUAACACGUGAGUAACCUGCCCUUGACUUCGGGAUAACUUCAGGAAACUGGGGCUAAUACCGGAUAGGAAUCCUUGCUGCAUGGUGGGGGUUGGAAAGCUUCGGCGGUUUUGGAUGGACUCGCGGCUUAUCAGCUUGUUGGUGGGGUAGUGGCUUACCAAGGCCUUGACGGGUAGCCGGCCUGAGAGGGCGACCGGCCACAUUGGGACUGAGAUACGGCCCAGACUCCUACGGGAGGAAGCAGUGGGGAAGAUUGCACAAUGGGCGGAAGCCUGAUGCAGCAACGCCGCGUGCGGGAUGACGGCCUUCGGGUUGUAAACCGCUUUCAGCAGGGGCGAAGCUUGUGGUGACGGUACCUGCAGAAGAAGCACCGGCUAACUACGUG